rnacentral:rRNA from 1 species
CUACGGGUGGCAGCAGUGAGGAAUUUUGCGCAAUGGGGGAAACCCUGACGCAGCAACGCCGCGUGAGUGAAGAAGGCUUUCGGGUCGUAAAGCUCUGUCAGAUAGGAAAAAAGUUCAUAUGUAAAUAGCUUAUGAAUCUGAUGGUACUAUCAGAGGAAGAACCGGCUAACUCCGUGCCAGCAGCCGCGGUAAUACGGAGGGUGCAAGCGUUGUUCGGAAUUACUGGGCGUAAAGGGCGUGUAGGCGGUAUGGUAAGGCAGAUGUGAAAGCCCUGGGCUUAACUCAGGAAGUGCAUUUGAUACUGCCAUCCUUGAGUAUGGGAGAGGAGAGUAGAAUUCCCAUUGUAGAGGUGAAAUUCGUAGAUAUUGGGAGGAAUACCCGUGGCGAAGGCGACUCUCUGGACCAAUACUGACGCUGAGACGCGAAAGCGUGGGGAGCAAACAGGAUUAGAUACCCGGGUAGUC